CCGGAAACCACGGCCUAGACCACGACAGUCACUCCGGAAACCACGGCCUAGACCACGACAGUCACUCCGGAAACCCACGGCCUAGACCACGACAGUCACUCCGGAAACCACGGCCUAGACCACGACAGUCACUCCCGAAUCCACGGCCUAGACCACGACAGUCACUCCCGAAUCCACCGUCUAGACCACGGCCUAGACCACGACAGUCACUCCCGAAUCCACCGUCUAGACCACGACAGUCACUCCCGAAUCCACCGUCUAGACCACGACAGUCACUCCCGAAUCCACCGUCUAGACCACGACAGGCAUUCCAGAAACCACGGUCUAGACCAUGACAGGCAUUCCGGAAUCCACCGUCUAGACCAUGACAGGCAUUCCGGAAUCCACCGUCUAGACCACGACAGUCACUCCGGAAUGUCAUCGUCCAUUCUAGAACACAGCUCUCACUCCGGAAUUAACCGUCCAUCGUAGAACACAGCUUUUGCUUCUGGAAUCCACCGACUGUUCUAGAACCCAGCCGUCACUCCGUAAUCCAGACUUGGAACACCGCUCUCAUGCCAGAAUUAACCGUCCUUCCUAGGACACGGUUGUGGGCGGAGCCUGUGGACAGAUGAUCUUUAACGAGCACUUUCUUCUCCUGCUGCUGGACGAGCUGAUACUGUAGUUUAUCGCCAUUGGUUAAGAGAAAAGCUCGACUUUUGCGCACCAAAAACGUUGUUAUAUUUAAUGAGAUUUUAUUUUUUAAGUGGGAAAAAAAAGAAAAAAAAGAGAGAGAAGUUUAGUUUAGUUUAUAAAUCACCGUUUCUGGACGUUUCUGUUCUCCGCUGGCGUGUCAGGGUCUUUAAAGCGAGAUGUAUUAAAGGCUUUUAGUACAGUCCGAUCAAGCCUUGGAACAAAACAAGGCCUUC
ensembl:lncRNA